rnacentral:rRNA from 1 species
ACUCGUUUAUCCUGCGAGAGAUCGCUGCUAUCAGGAUGCGAUUUAGGCAUGCAAGUCUGCCUUCGGGCGGCAAACUGCUCAGUAACACGUCGAUAAUCUACCGUAUUGUCCGGGAUAACCUUGGGAAACUGAGGGUAAGACCGGAUAGCGAACUUGGUGUGGAAUUUCUCUUGUUCGUUAAAGGUAACGCAGUACGAUGAGUCGGCGGCGGAUUAGGUUGUUGGUGAGGUAAAGGCUCACCAAGCCGAAGAUCCGUAGGGGCCAUGAGAGUGGGAGCCCCGAGAAGGGAACUGAGACACAGUCCCUAGCCCUAAGGGGUGCAGCAGCUACGAAACCUUUACAAUGCGCGAAAGCGUGAUAAGGGUAUCCUGAGUGCUUGCGUUUACGCGUAAGCUUUUUGCAAGGGUAAAUACCUUGCAGAAUAAGUGAUGGGCAAGACCGGUGCCAGCCGCCGCGGUAACACCGGCGUCACAAGUGGCGAUCACUAUUAUUGGGUCUAAAGCAUCCGUAGCCGGCUUCGUACAUGCCCUGUGAAAUCGUUGUGCUUAACAUAACGACGUGCAAGGUACACGGCGAGGCUUGAGACCGGGAGAAGUUGACGGUAUUCCAGGGGGAGCGGUAAAAUGUUAUAAUCCCUGGAGGACCACCAAUGGCGAAGGCAGUCAACUAGAACGGAUCUGACGGUGAGGGAUGAAAGCUAGGGGAGCGAUCGGGAUUAGAUACCCCAGUAGUCCUAGCUGUAAACGCUGCGAGCCAGAUGUUGCACCAUCCCCGUGAUGGUGCAGUGUCGUAAUGAAGAUGGUAAGCUCGCCACCUGGGAAGUACGGUCGCAAGGCUGAAACUUAAAGGAAUUGGCGGGGGAGCACUACAAGGGGUGCGGCGUGCGGUUUAAUCCAAUUCAACACGGAGAAUCUCACCAGAGCCGACGGCAGGAUGAUAGACAGUCUGAAGGGCUUUCUUGACGAGCCGAGAGGAGGUGCAUGGCCAUCGUCAGCUCGUGCUGUGAAGUGUCCUGUUAAGUCAGGCAACGAGCG